rnacentral:rRNA from 1 species
AGUUUGAUCAUGGCUCAGGAUGAACGCUGGCGGUAUGCUUAACACAUGCAAGUCGAACGGAUGUUUUCGGACAUUAGUGGCGGACGGGUGAGUAACGCGUGAGAAUCUAGCUUCAGGUUGGGGACAACAGUUGGAAACGACUGCUAAUACCGAAUAUGCCGAGAGGUGAAAGAUUAAUUGCCUGAAGAAGAGCUCGCGUCUGAUUAGCUAGUUGGUGGGGUAAGAGCUUACCAAGGCGACGAUCGGUAGCUGGUCUGAGAGGACGAUCAGCCACACUGGGACUGAGACACGGCCCAGACUCCUACGGGAGGCAGCAGUGGGGAAUUUUCCGCAAUGGGCGAAAGCCUGACGGAGCAAUACCGCGUGAGGGAAGAAGGCUCUUGGGUUGUAAACCUCUUUUCUUAGGGAAGAAAAAAAUGACGGUACCUAAGGAAUAAGCAUCGGCUAACUCCGUGCCAGCAGCCGCGGUAAUACGGAGGAUGCAAGCGUUAUCCGGAAUGAUUGGGCGUAAAGCGUCCGCAGGUGGCAAUUCAAGUCUGCGGUUAAAGGUUCUGGCUCAACCAGAGACAGGCCGUGGAAACUGAAUAGCUAGAGUAUGGUAGGGGCAGAGGGAAUUCCCAGUGUAGCGGUGAAAUGCGUAGAGAUUGGGAAGAACACCGGUGGCGAAAGCGCUCUGCUAGGCCAAAACUGACACUGAGGGACGAAAGCUAGGGGAGCGAAUGGGAUUAGAUACCCCAGUAGUCCUAGCCGUAAACGAUGGAUACUAGGUGUAGCUUGUAUCGACCCAAGCUGUGCCGUAGCUAACGCGUUAAGUAUCCCGCCUGGGGAGUA